ACUUUCAGAUAAUGAUAUUAGAAGUUGUUAAUAUCUUUCAUAAAGGAGUCAUAUGUGGAAGAUAAUUAUAAGAAUUUCUUCUUACACUAACACUGCACUUGAACUGUCGCUUUUGACAGUUCCUCAUAGAACAUUUAUUUCUACUUAGGCCUCACACCCCUCCACCCCGUGUUCCUUACACUUACUAAUUACACACCUACAUCAAUCCUAUUCCCGAAAUAAUCGUCCAUAAUCAUCUUACAAUUUCUAUUCUUUAAAUAGGGAAUAUGCAUGAUUUUUUAUCAUUUUUAAAUAAAUUCAAUGAGUAAUUAUAUAACCGGAAAAAUAUAUAACACUUGCAUAAUUAUAUUACAUAAACCUGAAAAAAAUAAUUUUAAAGUAUAAUUUUCUGAUGAUUUAAACGCUGUCAAUUACGAGCGAACUGAAAAUUUGUCCAUGUGUUUAGAUUCUUUGCAAUAUUUCAUAAGUUGGUUAGCUAUAUUCCAACAGUGUUAAUCUAAUCUUUAAAAACUGAAAGAAAACUGACACUAUGGUCUGCUUGAAGCAUUACUAGUCUUCGAUAAUGAGCACAUAGCUUUUGCUUUCAAGAAUUCUAAGGUUAUGCCUACUCAAGAUAAUUUAGACAUUUUUCAAUACCAGUCUAUACUGGAAGAUGGUAGAUCCUCCCUGCAUCUAUAAAGCCAGGCUAUGAUAGCAAUUUAGUGCAAUAAAGCAAUAUAAUACAGUAUAAAAUAUAAUAUCUAAAAAAAAGUAUUGUUAUAUUACAAACAUUCAACUAACUUUUACAUGCACUCUUUUUUAGCAAUUCUCUUGCAAGCUUCUUUAUUUUAUUAUUUACCUAUUAUAUUAUUACAUUACCCUAAGAAACUUAUCAGCAGUAUUCAGUAUCAGGAUGUCAACGAAACAUCCAAUAUUCAUACAUCCGACCUACGUUACAAUAUGAUUAUUAGUGAUGGUGACUUCAAAUUUUAAUCUGCCAAUAUUGUACGUGGGUAACAUUGAAAAUGUUAAGAAGUGGCCAGUUACAAACAUUGCCAUUGAAAUUUUUUUUAUUUCAAUUUAAGAACUCUUUGAUAACCUAAUGUAGUAUAUUACAGUCAUCUGUCAUGUAUUAUUGUGAAGUGGCGCAAAUCUAAAACUCUUAUUACACGUGAUAAUUAAACUAACGCUAGAAAAUUUUCGGUCAAUGUUUUAUUAUGACUUUCGUUAUAAGCUUACUCGAUGACAAAACUAGGAUAGGCUGCGUUUAGCUAUUUUUAAUGAAGCCCCGCCUCGUGCCACUAUUUACAAUUAGUUUAAUGAGUUUAAGCGUCGACGUAGCAAUGUAAAUGAUGUGCCGCGUGAGGGACGUCCUUUAACAGCGAUUACUGAAGAUAACAUGGGUGCUAUGCGACACAUCAUAGAGGAAGAUAAGCGAGUACCAGCGGACAGCGGCAUGCCUAAGAAUUGGUAUGAGUUAAAUUCAAGAAAUAUUACACGAACAUUUAGGACUCAGUCGGGAUGUUUUGUAGCAGAUGAAUUCCCCUAUACUUUAACCGAAGACCAGAAACACCUUCGCAGGGACUGGUGUCGCCAAAUGAUAUGUAAGUUCAACGGUGACUCAAAUGCUGUAUUUGACAUCAUCACAGAGGAACGGCAAACUUAGGUAAAGAAGUCAAGCAAAAAAGACGAUUGCUUCAUUCUUUGGUCGGAAAGGUCAGUUCACAAUAGUUGUGCUAGAAAAUAGAAGGACGGUUAUUGCAGACUAGUAUGUCCAUCGCUGAAAGCGUACGACAAUGCCUUAGAAAAGAUCCCUAAGGAAAAAUGGGCCCACGGCUUUUCUAAGUGGUUCCAUUGAAUGAGACGAUGUGUAGAGAGAAACGGUAAUUACUUCGAAAAGUAAUAAAAGUAUGGGCAACUUUCUACAUUAA